rnacentral:lncRNA from 1 species
CAAAUUCAAGUCUGUUUCAAUGGUGUCAGUUCUCCUACUUAGAUAAGACAGUCAGGAUCUGGCAUAAUUCACAUUGUAAUGGUUCUUUAUAGGAGAAACACAAGAGGGAGCUUGUUGGAAGAUGAUGAAUAAGGCAGAAGAAGAGUCGAUGAAGAGAAGGUUUAAAGUUUAUGAAGAACUCCUUGGCCAAGACACCAACUCUCUUGGAUGGGCUUGUUUAGUUGUGUAUUUUCUUCCUAUUUCCCCUUUAUUCAACUGUCUGUUUCACUGCCUUUUUGAUCGACCAACUCCUAUAUUUCAUAUUUUUUGCCACAGUUGUUGUCACCUUUUGCCGCCCUUCCAAAUAAUUCUGAGUCGAUCUUCCACUUCCAUCGGUGAAAAAUGAGAUUGAUAUUUAGGGCAUUUAUCCUAACCUGACACCUGUGUUUACAAUUACGACUUGAUUUAAUUGAAUUGGGGACAAGACUUCACGGUUGGUUUAUGAUUUAUUAUCGCCUAUCAUCUUUUUGUCUCUCUCUCUCCCCCUCCAAAUUCCUCUUUUUGUUUCUCUCAAAAAAAAAAAAAAAAAACACAUAUGUUUUAAUUUUCAAUCUUGCUUUCAGCACACAUUUUUUAAAUAAUUUUUAAGAACUGAAAAUUAUAUGAAAUUUUUUAUACAAAUAUCUGAUGAAUGAUAUUCCAUGCUCUUGGCCCCCGUUCA